rnacentral:tRNA from 1 species
GCGCCCAUAGCUCAACAGGAUAGAGUAUUGGAUUUCUAAUCCAAAGGUUGGGGGUUCGAUUCCCUCUGGGCGCGCCA